ACAAGGUCUCCGUAGGUGANCCUGCGNAGGGAUCAUUACNCAAUAAAAUACGAAGNCCGUUCGCGGCUGGACUANUUUAUUACCCUUGUCUUUUGCGCACUUGUUGUUUCCUGGGCGGGUUCGCUCGCCACCAGGACCACAAUAUAAACCUUUUUUAUGCAGUUGCAAUCAGCGUCAGUAUAACAAAUGUAAAUCAUUUACAACUUUCAACAACGGAUCUCUUGGUUCUGGCAUCGAUGAAGAACGCAGCGAAAUGCGAUACGUAGUGUGAAUUGCAGAAUUCAGUGAAUCAUCGAAUCUUUGAACGCACAUUGCGCCCUUUGGUAUUCCAAAGGGCAUGCCUGUUCGAGCGUCAUUUGUACCCUCAAGCUUUGCUUGGUGUUGGGCGUUUUUGUCUUUGGCCCGCCAAAGACUCGCCUUAAAAUGAUUGGCAGCCGGCCUACUGGUUUCGCAGCGCAGCACAUUUUUGCGCUUGCAAUCAGCAAAAGAGGACGGCAAUCCAUCAAGACUCCUUCUCACGUUUGACCUCGG
rnacentral:rRNA from 1 species